rnacentral:tRNA from 1 species
GGUCCGGUAGUUCAGUUGGUUAGAAUGCCUGCCUGUCACGCAGGAGGUCGCGGGUUCGAGUCCCGUCCGGACCGCCAUU